rnacentral:ncRNA from 2 species
AGUUCGGACUCUGGAGAGCGGCAGUAGCCACGUGCAUCGGCAGGCUGCCCACCGAAGGGGCGCGCGCGGGCCGGUCACGGCGGCGCAAUCUCUCAGGUAUCGAGGACAGAGGGGCUGUC